rnacentral:misc_RNA from 1 species
UUUUUCCUUACGGUCUCUCUUUCUCGUUCCUCUGCAUUGUGUGCUGACAUACGCACACCGAGGUUUACAAACAUACAGUGAUGUACAUCCCACACACACACCACCACACGCGUACACGUCCACUAUCGGGCCUUCCUCAGCAGCGCAGCACGGGAAAAACGCUUCGUUAGAGCGCGUUUGCCGCGACUUCACAAACCGGGAACAUAGUGUGGUGCUGCUCUUCCUUGAGGUGUUGGAGCCACCUAACAUGCCUGAACUCAAUUGUUCUGCAUUAAACACAAGCGUUUAGCAGCAGGGCAUCCUCUGGUGAAGCAGCACAGUAAAGACAACGUCUCUGCCGCUGCAAGAAGAAACAUCAUGUCGAGCCUCGUCACGCAGCACAAAACGUACGUGCACCACGUCUCCCUCGACCCAUCCGGCUCCCUCCUGGCAUCGUGCUCGAGUGAUAAGACAGUGGAGGUGUUCCACCGUCGCACCCUGACUGGCGGUGGCGCCGUCUGGGAGCCUGGCUGCGCGAUGCACGACCAUUCAGGCCCGGUGCUGCGUAUGGCGUGGUGCCAGCACCGCGAGCACGGCCCUCUUCUCGCCACCGCCGGGGCGGAUCGCUGGAUUUACAUAUAUCGUAUCAUUAUCUCCUCUCACGAGGGGCGCACGCUGCUGCACACGGUGCGCUGGUCUCCCGUGCGCGGGUACGAGAAGGACGUCAUAACGGAUGUGGCCUUUGUGCCACCGCAGCAGUACCACGCUCUACUUCUCUCGACUGCGUCGUUGGACGGCUGCGUUCGCCUCUACGAGGUGCACCAGCCACAGCAGUUCCCGUGCGUGUGCAGAAUAUCCCCGGAGGCCGACGCCGCGGCGGAAGGGGCCAGUGACAGCGCCGCUUGUGCCGUAGGGGUGUCCGCCGGCAGCGCAGCCGCUGAGCGCCGUGAGGAUGCGUCGGCAUCGCAGUCGGCUUCCUCAGUGCCGCUGCUGCGCUCCGGCGGGGUCACUGCCAUUGGCUGGUUCCCAGGCUCUGCGGAGCGCACGAUGACCCUUGCCGUCGGCACCGUGUCGGGGCGCUUCUUUCUCUACCGCUACAUCAAGGACUCAAACUCCUUCAUGACGAUAUCGCUACCGCAGGUCGAGGCCGGCGUGCUGCGCUGCAGUGCGCCGGUGUGCAACGUGAGUUGGGCUUCAUGCGUUGGCCGCCGCUUUCAGCUCCUGUCCAUUUGCUCCCGGAGUGAAGUGUUUAUUCUCCGGCUGAACUGCGUAUCACCUUCCAUUGACGAGAAACGCAGUUUCGAGCUGUUUCGGGUGCCAUUGGAGCCGUCAGCGCGUCCUGGGGCCGCUCGAGCACGCUCCUGUAUCUCGCCACGGACGAUCAACGCACACAGGUGGUUGUGCUGCAGAUGGCAAACCCGCUCGACCACCAGUCUUGGAGGGUAGUAUCACGCAACGCGGUUGAGUAACUCUUCCCCUUCACGCACGCGCCGCCUAGUGUGUCGGUAGCUCCUCACUUACUGCUUGUCUCAGCCUCGGCGCUCGCGGCCACGCUCCUCUAUCUCAGUUGUGCUUCACGGGUUGCCGUGCGCGCUGUUUCGCGUAUGCAAGCGUUCUUCACGGCUACUGUGACCUCACAGACACGCGCGUACACACAUCUCCCUGCUAGGCCACAGAGCACUGCCGCCAGAUCUUCACCGUUGCCUGCUGAGAAGCUGAAGGCGAAGC